GUUACUGUAGUGUAGUGGUUUAAUGCUGGACUACAACUCUGGAGACCAGGGUUUGAUUCCCAGCUUGGUCAUA